CUGAAGCUUUUGCAGGAUGGUGUGAAUCUCAGUUGUGAUAAUUAUAUCACACUUCUUAUAAAUGCAGAGUUUGCGCAAUAAAGAGGCAGAGGCAGUUGCUUACUGAAAAUAAAGUUUACUAACUAUAAAAGAAGGGAAUGGUAAACUUGGAUACAAAACAAGAAAAUACCUAACUGGCUAGCUCCAUUAGCUAGCUUCUGCUUGGCUAUCACAUGGCUAAUAAGCUACUGGAGAGCAUGUGCAGAGAGUGAACAAAGGAUAU